AGUUGUUGGCACCCACCAUAUCUUGCUUCGGGGCCGAUCUCUUGUAUCGGAGCAAACAAUUCAAUGAUUUUCUAUAUUCUAUUUAUUUCUUUUUCUUUAUUGUUGACUUUUUUCCUACCACAAACAGAUUUGCCGCAUGGAUUGGAUAGAGUCCCCUGAUCUCGACAUUCAAGCACGAAUCCCUUUAGCGCUUCGGCGGCGGAUAGCAGCAUGGGCAAAGCACUCUGCUGCGGCGAGCAGCCGGUUCUUAUUGCAUUCACCAAGAUAGUCUUGCUCGCUCCUUUCCUUACAGUCAAGUGGCUUUCCGCUCCUGAACUCUACGACGAGUUCAGCCACCACCUCCGGGUCUGGGCUCUGCUCGAGCGUAGUCAGCCAGCUUCGUGACUUUGCUUA
rnacentral:lncRNA from 1 species